rnacentral:rRNA from 1 species
UACAGAGGGUGCGAGCGUUAAUCGGAAUUACUGGGCGUAAAGCGCGCGUAGGCGGCUUUUCAAGUCGAUUGUGAAAUCCCCGGGCUUAACCUGGGAACUGCAGUCGAGACUGUCUAGCUAGAGUAUGGGAGAGGGAAGUGGAAUUUCAGGUGUAGCGGUGAAAUGCGUAGAUAUCUGGAGGAACACCGGUGGCGAAGGCGGCAUCCUGGACCGGUAUUGACGCUGAGGAGCGAAAGCCAGGGGAGCAAACGGG